GGUACCUUCGUGCCCGAGUUUGUAAUUUGUAGAAGGUAACUUUUGGGGCUGGUCCUUGUCUAUGUUCCUUGGAACAGGACGUCAUAGAGGGUGAGAAUCCCGUGUGGCGAGGAUCCCAGUUUCUUUGUAAAGUGCUUUCGAAGAGUCGAGUUGUUUGGGAAUGCAGCUCUAAGUGGGUGGUAAAUUCCAUCUAAAGCUAAAUAUUGGCGAGAGACCGAUAGCGAACAAGUACAGUGAUGGAAAGAUGAAAAGAACUUUGAAAAGAGAGUGAAAAAGUACGUGAAAUUGUUGAAAGGGAAGGGCAUUUGAUCAGACAUGGUGUUUUGCGCCCUCUGCUCCUUGUGGGUGGGGGAAUCUCGCAGCUCACUGGGCCAGCAUCAGUUUUGGCGGCAGGAUAAAUCUGCAGGAAUGUAGCUUGCCUCGGUAAGUGUUAUAUCCUGUAGAAAUACUGCCAGCUGGGACUGAGGACUGCGACUUUACGUCAAGGAUGCUGGCAUAAUGGUUAUAUGCCGCCCGUC
rnacentral:rRNA from 1 species